GGCGCCAGCCCACAGGAAGGGGCGGGGAUAGCACCUAGGAGCUGGGCAUAGAGAGGUGGGGCCUAGGCCCCGGCUUGUGGCCGACCCCGCCCAUCCUCGAGCAGGUACCAGGGCCACGUGGGUGCAUCGCUGAUCGUGGGCGGCGUAGACCUGACUGGACCGCAGCUCUACGGCGUGCAUCCCCAUGGCUCCUACAGCCGUCUGCCCUUCACAGCCCUGGGCUCUGGUCAGGACGCGGCCCUGGCGGUGCUAGAAGACCGGUUCCAGCCGAACAUGACGCUGGAGGCUGCUCAGG
rnacentral:lncRNA from 1 species